AUCCAGCUGACGAGUCCCAAAUAGGACGAAACGCUGAGUGGAUUAUAU
rnacentral:hammerhead_ribozyme from 1 species